UAGGCAAAACAUACAUAUACAUCUACA
rnacentral:piRNA from 1 species